AUACGGAGGGUGCAAGCGUUAUCCGGAUUUAUUGGGUUUAAAGGGUGCGUAGGCGGUUUGAUAAGUCAGCGGUGAAAUAUUUCAGCUUAACUGGAAGGGUGCCGUUGAUACUGUCGAGCUUGAAUUUAGUUGCUGUGGGUGGAAUGUGUGGUGUAGCGGUGAGAUGCAUAGAUAUCACACAGAAUAUCGAUUGCGAAGGCAGCUCACAAAGCUAAUAUUGACGCUGAUGCACGAAAGUGUGGGGAUCAAACAGGAUUAGAUACCCUGGUAGUCCACACUGUAAACGAUGAUAACUCGCUGUCGGCGAUACAUAGUCGGUGGCCAAGCGAAAGCGAUAAGUUAUCCACCUGGGGAGUACGACCGCAAGGUUGAAACUCAAAUGAAUUGACGGGG
rnacentral:rRNA from 1 species